UUUUAGAAUUUCACAAGUCGAAUUACCACCUCAAUAAUAGGAAAAAAAUACAUUUGAUCUCCGGUUAUAAGUUGUAUUUACAAUCUUUCCAAGAGAGUACAACAAAAGGUCAAUUUUCCCUUGGAAACACCUCAAGCUAGGAACAAUUCUGGUAUCCAAUUACAUUCAUGGCAUAUAACACUUGAAAAAGCUAAUGAUGUUUUUCAACAUUGUUUAGCAUGUAGCAAGCUUUGUUUGACUGAUAUACUCUUAAUAUUGCAUUUGUAAUUUUAUCAUUGGUCCAACUUUUUGAAUAAACAAUUAUCUCUUCUUUGCACUAUGAAAAAAUAGAUUUUUACUUUUUCUUUUGGUACUAAAUUUGUUCCGUUCAUGAUAAGGUUUAGCAAAAUAUUUCAUAUGAUUUUCAAUCCCGCAGCAUUGGUCGGGUACAAAUUUCUAGUUUAUUGCUAUAACUAAGAUAUGGCUCACACCUAACUCGUGAAUAGUCCUUAUUUGCGGGUCGGGCGUGACAACAAUCUUGAUAACUUUAGGUGAUGUUUGUAUUUUGAAAAUGGUUCAUUUGUAAUCGUAUCCACCAGGUGCGAUUUUAUGCUUGAAAGUGUUUUUUUUUUUGCUUUCUUUUCAAUCGGUCUCCUCCUUAGUGGUUAUAUGUAGGAGUUUAUGUGUAGGGUUUUGAAUAGGAAGAAGGCAAUAAAAAAGCAACAAACAGAGCAAAGUAGAAAGCAAUAAGCCAAAUUAGUUGUUAACAGUGGAACGAAUCUUAUUGUUUUUUGGGUUCCACAUGCCAUUUCUUGUUGGUUACCAUUGAAAUUGUCAUUUGAUUGAUUAAACUAUGCAACGUACUAUCAUUUGAUUGAUUAAAGUAUUCAACUUUAUUUUAAUUACAGAUAUUGAUAGGUUAACUCUGAAUUUUGUAUAUGGAGGAAAUUGAUGAUAUUGCCCAAGCAUACAUAUUUCAGUGUUAAGACAGUUAUUUUGACAAUGUGGAUCUUGAUUUGUUGUCAAUGAUUGAACUGAAGCACAUGAUGGAAGAGGUUAGAUAUACGAAUGCGAAGAAAUACCAUUACACUAAACCCGGAGAGGAGCCCCAACAUGGGGUUUGCAUCCGCUAGUUUCUGACAGUGAUAUGAUGAACAUGGUGAAGCUUAUUCCUGGAUCAAGGGAGAUGACUAUUUAUGUAGGGCAUGAUGUUAAUACGCCACAUAUAGCUCCAGAAUCCCCUCAAGAUCAAACAUCAAAUUAUUUCAAUGUAUUUGAUGAGAUACCGGAUGCUGCGUUCUCUCAAGUACCAGUAGAAUUAUUCUCUCAAGCAACCUAUCCACAACAUGAUGAAGCGAACAAUGAGGAGUGGGUUGGUGAAUGAUAAUAUAAUUUCUGGUGAGGAAGGUCAUGGUCUAUAUUAAACUUUUGUGCAAGAGUGGGAAGUGCACCAAUGGUUUUCAUUACGAGCAUGGAACGGAUAGUGAUGAUUCUGAUUAUGAGCUAUAUGACAGUGAGAAUGAUGCUGCUAUAGAAAGGAUGUAACAUGUGACCUAAGUGCAACAUGGACCCUCAUUUGCCCCCAUUAGUGAAAAAACAACCUGGUAGACCAAAAAAAAGCAAGGAAAAAAGGACCUGAAAUGGAGAAAAAAAAAAAAUGAUAAUAAUAGUGAUCCUAAGCAGGUUGUGAGUAGGAAGGGAAAGACUACAAUGCCACAAGUGCCGGGGUUGGGGCAUAACCAUAAGUUUUGUACGUAAUAAUGGGCCUAGAGAAGCUCCACAAGGUGUAUAUAUUGACAAGAGAAGGGCAUAUCCUAGACCAGAAAUUGGCAGCAAGAAAAAAAAAACCAAGUAGUGGUUCAUCUACUCAAAGGAGUGGUAGAAGUAUAACUGCUGAAAUGAAGACCAAGUAAUGAAUCAACUUACAACUGUUGUUUAGGCUGAUGUUAGAGAUGUUGUACAUGCAAUUGAUGGAGGUCUAACACCUAAAAAGUCCAAACUCAUAGCAAGGAGAAACAACCCCAAGCAAGGGUUGUAUUGUGAUCCCCACGACGCUACAAAGGUUCAAGAUACCAGUCAACCAACCAUUACUAUAGGGGUAAGGGGUGCCACAUUUACCACAAUUCCUAGAGUGGAGAUGCCUCGAGGUAGACUUGAAGUUCAAAUCCUUUGACUGGAUUGUCUUCUCAUCCUCUAACCAUUACUGGAGGGGCAAGAGGUGCCACAUUUACCACAAUUCCUAGAGUGGAGAUUCCUCCAAGUAGAUUUGGAAGCUCGAAUCCUACGACUGGAUGGCCUCCUCAAGAAUCCACCAACCACUUCUAAACAAACUUUUGCACCAUGGAAAUCUCCUGGUAAGAUCUUUGUCAACAAAAAUCAGAAUUCAUCGCAGAAGAAGACAUGAUCGUGCUGUUAUUUUGUUUUGGAUUAGUCAUUACAUAAAAUAGACUUGUAUUUUGGUACUUUCAUAUGUGGGACUCCACGUAUGGCUAUCUUUUUUUGGUCUUUUGUAAUCGGGUCAUCAAAGUGAAUUUCUUAAAUGACUGAAUGAAUGCUUCUUUUGUUA